AUUAUUUAAUUAAGUGGUCUAUAAGUCAGUUGAUUAAAUAAAACCUCAAUUUUCAGCCCAGGUGAAGAGAAAAGUUCAGCAGGGCCCAGUCACUGCCAAGUGGGGGUGCCAGCUUGAAUAAAAUAGGAGGGCAGGUAAGCCCCGCCCCACAUAAUUGAUCACAAGACAUGGCCCAUGCUGUGGCAGGAUGCCCAUGCUGUGGCAGCCUUGGUGCCAAGUGUUGCCAGCCUUUCCAUCAUACUGGCCCCGUAAAGUGGUUUGUGUGCUUGUGCUUUUAAAUCCUCUCUCAGAUCCCAGGACAGCUACAAGUUGGAUGUUUGCUAAUCAGUAUCUGAGAGACGUGCCAAAGAGGUCUUGCCAGAACCAGGGGAGCGGUUAAGCUGUGGCUCUUUACCGGUAGAUGCUGUUGGUCUGCAAUUCCCGCCCUCAUCCCUGGACAUUAGCCAUGUUGGCUGCUGGUGCCUGAAGUCCAACAACAUCUGGAGACUGGGCACAGAUGUUCCCCACCGCUGCCAGGAAGCACCCUGUCCCGGACUCUCCAGGCUUUUGCCAGAAGGAUGCUGUGGCCAGCACCACCAUUUCCCAGCUUCUGUGUUGCUCCCAAAGGAGAAAUUUGGUAGCCGCCUUAAGUCGGAGGCAUCCCAUAUAAAGUUACCUUUCCUGUUCAGCAAUGGCCACAAUCAGGAAAGAGAUAAUGAGGCUGACUUGAAAGGAGGGGAAUGGCAGGACAUUCUGUGCUACUCUGGAAGUACUUUGAUCAGUUUAAUGGGGCUAGGAAGGAUCUUCAGGACCAGUUGCUGAGGUGUGCUUGUGCUUCUCCUGCAGACAUUGACCAGAACUCAGAAGACAUUAAUGCCCAGAGGAAUGGUGCAAACAUAACCCCACCCAUUCUGGGAGGGAUUUUUAACUGCCUGCAUAGGGUGCUCAUCAAACUAAUGAAAAUACUGUAGUUAUAGGCAUUCAUUCAUCCUUAUGUCCCAGCAACAUGACUCUCUGUACAGUUUCUUCGCCACUGAGUGGAAUUCAGAAGCAUUAAAAUCAAGAACAUGAUUUGCCACCACGUGCAAUGAACUCUGACCAAAAGUUGGGUAUGUCCCAUGACUAUCCAUAGUACCAAAAGUCCCAGACAUACCUGCCUUUCUGUCUUUAGACAACAAUGAAAAACUUCCUGGUUGUGGCAAAGGGGGACCCCCCUCCCCAAAUAAUGUUACUACUUGAGUUUUUUUUUAAUAACCUCAAAAUAG